AGCAGUAGCCGCGGUAAUACGUAGGUGGCAAGCGUUGUCCGGAAUUAUUGGGCGUAAAGGGCUCGCAGGCGGUUUCUUAAGUCUGAUGUGAAAGCCCCCGGCUCAACCGGGGAGGGUCAUUGGAGACUGGGAAACUUGAGUGCAGAAGAGGAGAGUGGAAUUCCACGUGUAGCGGUGAAAUGCGUAGAGAUGUGGAGGAACACCAGUGGCGAAGGCGACUCUCUGGUCUGUAACUGACGCUGAUGCACGAAGGCCAGGGGAGCAAACGGGAUUAGAUACCCGGGUAGUCCCUGUCUCUUAUAC
rnacentral:rRNA from 1 species